AUUGCUUCUCGGCCUUUUGGCUAAGAUCAAGUGUCAUAUCUGUUCUUAUCAGUUUAAUAUUUUAAUCUUCAGGUGGCUCAAAAGGGCAAGCAGGCCUUAGGGACAACUGGUUGACCUCGAACAUCA
ensembl:snRNA U2 U2 spliceosomal RNA